rnacentral:rRNA from 1 species
GACGAACGCUGGCGGCGUGCCUAAUACAUGCAAGUCGAGCGGACAGAAGGGAGCUUGCUCCCGGAAGUUAGCGGCGGACGGGUGAGUAACACGUGGGCAACCUACCCUGUAGAUCGGGAUAACAUCGAGAAAUCGGUGCUAAUACCGGAUAAUCAUUUGAAGUGCAUGCUUCGAAUGUAAAAGAUGGCUCCGGCUAUCACUACGGGAUGGGCCCGCGGCGCAUUAGCUAGUUGGUAAGGUAAUGGCUUACCAAGGCAACGAUGCGUAGCCGACCUGAGAGGGUGAUCGGCCACACUGGGACUGAGACACGGCCCAGACUCCUACGGGAGGCAGCAGUAGGGAAUCUUCCGCAAUGGACGAAAGUCUGACGGAGCAACGCCGCGUGAGUGAUGAAGGUCCUCUGGAUUGUAAACUUCUUUUAUUUGGGACGAAAAAGGGCCUUUCUAGGUCAACUGACGGUACCAGAUGAAUAAGCACCGGCUAACUCCGUGCCAGCCGCCGCCGUAACAC